GCGCCUCCGUGCGGUGCCAUCCCGCCGAACCCCCCCAGGGCAGAAAUGCAGCAAGGGCAGGCGGCUCAUGGCAGGUGCGCGGAGGUUUUUU
rnacentral:SRP_RNA from 1 species